rnacentral:rRNA from 1 species
CUUGCUUUCUUUGCUGGCGACCGGCGCACGGGUGAGUAACACGUAUCCAACCUGCCCUUUACUCGGGGAUAGCCUUUCGAAAGAAAGAUUAAUACCCGAUAGCAUAAUGAUUCCGCAUGGUUUCAUUAUUAAAGGAUUCCGGUAAAGGAUGGGGAUGCGUUCCAUUAGGUUGUUGGUGAGGUAACGGCCCACCAAGCCUUCGAUGGAUAGGGGUUCUGAGAGGAAGGUCCCCCACGUUGGAACUGAGACACGGUCCAA